AAGCUCUGCCAUCUAUCCUACAGCCACCCCCAUAUGAUUUCUGCAUCCAUGUCUUUAAGAUCCAAAGCACAUACCAAGAGCAGAUACCAGGAAGAGGCGGCCAGCUAGUUAACAACUAAGCAAAUAUUGUUCUCCUCUUUAUAUAUAAGUCAACUGACCCAUAAUUUUCCCUCAUAAAAUUCAGUAGGAUAUCAUAUGAUAUGGCACUUUUGCAAGAAAGCAAUACCCUUGUGGGUCUUGUUUUGCUCUUGUGCAUGACAUUAGAGGUUUCUUCACACAGCAGUCAUAUGCAGUAUACCCCUCCUAAUGUUACUCAUUUCACUGAUCUAUUUUCUCCUGUCUCAAUUAGUCAAGGAUUCUCUACAUUUUUUGGUGGCUCAAAUAUUAAGUUGCUCAAUAAUGGGUCUUAUGCAAAUCUUGCUCUUGAUAAAUCCUCAGGUAGAUCCAUUCCAUAUCCUGGGGCUAUGAGGUUUGUGUUUCUGAGUUGAUCUCAAUAUUGAUAUUUUUGGGUCUUUUUUCUGCAGGCUCUGGGUUGGCCUCAAAGAACAAAUAUUACUACGGUUUCUUUAGUGCUGCAAUAAAAUUGCCUGCUGGUCUAUCUUCUGGAGUAGUAGUAGCCUUCUAUGUAAGCUCUCUUUUCUUGCAUAGCCAUAGAAGUACAUUUACUUAUCUUUGAUGGAAUGAUUAUGGGAAAUCUUUGUUCAGAUGUCUAAUGCAGAUACAUAUCCACACAACCAUGAUGAGAUUGAUAUUGAACUUCUUGGUCAUGACAAGAGAAAUGAUUGGGUCCUCCAAACUAAUGUGUAUGCAAAUGGAAGUGUCAGCACUGGAAGAGAAGAGAAAUUCUAUCUCUGGUUUGAUCCAACAGAACAACACCAUCAUUACAGCAUCAUCUGGAACAGUCACCAUACAGUGUUUCUAGUAGACAAUGUACCAGUAAGAGAGUUUAUCCAUAACAGUGCCUUCUCUUCUGUGUACCCAUCAAAGCCCAUGUCACUUUAUGCCACUAUCUGGGAUGGUUCAGAGUGGGCAACCCAUGGAGGAAAAUACCCAGUUAACUAUAAGUAUGCCCCAUUUGUGGUUUCUUUUGCAGAAAUGGAAAUGACUGGCUGCAUUUACAAUCCAUCUGCUGCUUCAUGUUCUAAUAAGGCUGGUCCUUCAACCUUAGACCCUGUGGAAGGGCAAGAAUUUGUUAAGCUAUCAAAGGAUCAAAGUGUGGCCAUGGAUUGGGCAAGAAGAAAGCUCAUGUUCUAUUCUUACUGUAAUGAUAGAGCAAGGUUCAAGGUCCUGCCACCUGAGUGCAAAUAAAUGUGAUACAGU
rnacentral:misc_RNA from 1 species